rnacentral:sRNA from 1 species
GAAAUAACGGCAAUUGUCGCAUAGCAAAUGCCAGUUGCAAAUUGCGAGUUGCAAGCGCAAAUCAAAGUGUCCGCAGGCGAAUAAAGAAACAAAGAAACACAAUUAACAAACGUGAAGUAACAAUCCGGCAAAGCGAAUAAACCCGAUACCGAUUCCGAUUUGCAGCAUAAAAACCUUAGACGCCCAACAAAUAUACAUCUCUAAAUGCAUCAGCUAAGCAACAGUAUUUUUGCUCAACAAUAAUUAUACGAAAACUCUGAACACGUA